rnacentral:rRNA from 1 species
GAUGAACGCUGGCGGCGUGCCUAAUACAUGCAAGUCGAGCGAAUGGAUUAAGAGCUUGCUCUUAUGAAGUUAGCGGCGGACGGGUGAGUAACACGUGGGUAACCUGCCCAUAAGACUGGAUAACUCCGGGAAACCGGGGCUAAUACCGGAUAACACUUUGAACCGCAUGGUUCGAAAUUGAAAGGCGGCUUCGGCUGUCACUUAUGGAUGGACCCGCGUCGCAUUAGCUAGUUGGUGAGGUAACGGCUCACCAAGGCAACGAUGCGUAGCCGACCUGAGAGGGUGAUCGGCCACACUGGGACAGAGCCACGGCCCAGAGUCCUACGGGAGGCAGCAGUAGGGAAUCUUACGCAAUGGACGAAAGUCUGACGGAGCAACGCCGCGUGAGUGAUGAAGGCUUUCGGGUCGUAAAACUCUGUUGUUAGGGAAGAACAAGUGCUAGUUGAAUAAGCUGGCACCUUGACGGUACCUAACCAGAAAGCCACGGCUAACUACGUGCCAGCCGCCGCCGUAA